rnacentral:rRNA from 1 species
AGAGUUUGAUCCUGGCUCAGGAUGAACGCUAGCUACAGGCUUAACACAUGCAAGUCGAGGGGCAUCAGUUUGGUUUGCUUGCAAACCAAAGCUGGCGACCGGCGCACGGGUGAGUAACACGUAUCCAACCUGCCUCAUACUCGGGGAUAGCCUUUCGAAAGAAAGAUUAAUAUCCGAUAGCAUAUAUUUCCCGCAUGGGUUUUAUAUUAAAGAAAUUCGGUAUGAGAUGGGAUGCGUUCCAUUAGUUUGUUGGCGGGGUAACGGCCACCAAGACUACGAUGGAUAGGGGUUCUGAGAGGAAGGUCCCCCACAUUGGAACUGAGACACGGUCCAAACUCCUACGGGACGGCA